GAGUGUGAUCAUACUUGCAUUAAUGCACCAUAUCCCAUUGGAACUCCGCAGUUAAGUGCGGUUGGGAUAGAGUAGUACUGGGAUGGGUGACCUCUCGAGAAGUCCUAGUGUCGCACCCU
rfam:Picea glauca, whole genome shotgun sequence.